GAUUGCCCCAGUAACGGCGAGUGAACCGGCAACUGCUCAAAUUUGAAAUCCGGCGCAAGCCCGAGUUGUAAUUUGCAGAGGACGCUUCGGCCCCGCGGUCGCCCCUCAAGUGCCCUGGAAAGGGACGCCAGGGAGGGUGAUAGCCCCGUCAGGGGGGGUUGACCCGGGGUCGUGUGAAGUCUCCUCGAAGAGUCGAGUUGUUUGGGAAUGCAGCUCUAAAGCGGGAGGUAAAUUCCUUCCAAAGCUAAAUACCGGCCAAGGACCGAUAGCGCACAAGUAGAGUGAUCGAAAGAUGAAAAGCACUUUGGAAAGAGAGUCAAACAGUACGUGAAAUUGUUGAGAGGGAAGCGUUUGCGAUCAGACGCGUCGGGGAUCGGCUCACCCUGGCCCGCGUGGCCGGGGGCACUCCCUCCCCCGACGAGCCAGCAUCGGCCCGGACGGCGGCAGGAUCCGACGGGGAACGUGACUCCCUCGCGGAGUGUUACAGCCCCGCCGGACCACCCCACCGCCCGUGCGGGCCGAGGCAGGCGCAUCCCCUUUGGGGUGCUCGGAUGCUGGCGUAAUGGUCGUAAGCGGCCCGUCUUGA
rnacentral:rRNA from 1 species